UUUGUUCGUUUGGCUUAAGUUA
ensembl:ncRNA